AGUAGGGAAUCUUCCACAAUGGACGAAAGUCUGAUGGAGCAACGCCGCGUGAACGAUGAAGGCCUUCGGGUCGUAAAGUUCUGUUGUAAGGGAAGAACAAGUGCCGCAGGCAAUGGCGGCACCUUGACGGUACCUUGCGAGAAAGCCACGGCUAACUACGUGCCAGCAGCCGCGGUAAUACGUAGGUGGCAAGCGUUGUCCGGAAUUAUUGGGCGUAAAGCGCGCGCAGGCGGCCUCUUAAGUCUGAUGUGAAAGCCCCCGGCUCAACCGGGGAGGGCCAUUGGAAACUGGGAGGCUUGAGUAUAGGAGAGAAGAGUGGAAUUCCACGUGUAGCGGUGAAAUGCGUAGAGAUGUGGAGGAACACCAGUGGCGAAGGCGACUCUUUGGCCUAUAACUGACGCUGAGGCGCGAAAGCGUGGGGAGCAAA
rnacentral:rRNA from 1 species